CAAGGGUUAGGGGAAAAAAAACUGUUCUGAAACUGAAAAAAAAAAAUCUAAGAUAAUUGGUUAGUCAAAACUGAUAACAGAUGUAUUAUUAUUUAUAGUGGUGGAAUUUUUAUGGGGUAAAUUAUUAUCUAGUCCCUCGAUUAUGUUAAAAUUAAUGAUUUCGUCCUUGUAUUUUAAAAAAAUAUAUGAUUUAGUCUUUCACAUUUGAUUCUGUUAACUAUUUGGUCCUUCUGUCCAGUUUUGUUAAUUUAACCGUUAGUCAAGAGACUAAAAGGUGGUCAAUACGGGACAAAAGUGUUAAUAAUGGGAAAAACUCAAGGACAAACUUGUUUAUCAUUAACGGUAAAAGUUGAGAAAAAUAAAUAAAGGAACGACAAUAUAUGACAAAACCAAAACUUAGGGACUAACUAAUGUUUUUUCAAAAUAUGAGGAUCACAUCAUUAAUUUCGCUGUAAUACAAGGACUAAAUAGUAAUUUUCCUUAUUUUUUCAAUGAAAUAAAAACAAAAUAAUUUGCAGUUUUAAUUUGUAAAUGAAAUAAUAAUCUAUAAAUCACCAAUGAAAAUGAAUUCUAUAUAUGAAUAAUGUAAAUCAUAAUAUAUAUGAAUCAUCAGUAAAAACCAAUUAACUAAUCAAUUGGUUAACCGAUAUUUGGGUUUGCUUUUAAAAGUUAUUUUCAGCUGACAAAACCAUGUGCUCCUUAUUCUUUGCUUCAAAAAAGAUAUGUCCCUUAUAAUUCUGAAUUUGUAAUGCAAUGAAAGAUUAGAUUAUGAUAGAUGAAUAAAUUCCUAAAUUUCAGAGAGGGCAGGCUAUUUAUAAGCUUGAAGGCUGAAGCUACCAUGUCAACAAUGAGUAUAUAUAAAUAGGCUACCUAGUGAUAUUAACCCUCCGGUCAUGGAACAUUUUUGUCAAUAAGGCAUGUAAAAGUGCUUUACUUUUUAAUUGAAUACUGGUCUGGAUAUGUUUUGUCUGUGUAGAUAACCUUAUAGCGGAGGGUA
rnacentral:misc_RNA from 1 species